rnacentral:rRNA from 1 species
ACAUACGACCAUAGGGUGUGGAAAACAGGGCUUCCCGUCCGCUCAGCCGUACUUAAGCCACACGCCGGUGAGUUAGUAGUUGGGUGGGUGACCACCAGCGAAUCCUCACUGUUGUAUG